AAACUUUCAGCAAUGGAUCUCUUGGCUCUCGCAUCGAUGAAGAACGCAGCGAAACGCGAAAUGUAAUGUGAAUUGCAGAAUUUUGUGAAUCAUCGAAUCUUUGAACGCACCUUGCGCUUUCGGGUUAUUCCUGGAAGCAUGCUUGUUUGAGUGUCGCGU
rnacentral:rRNA from 1 species